rnacentral:rRNA from 1 species
AUUGAACGCUGGCGGCAGGCCUAACACAUGCAAGUCGAACGAGUGGCGGACGGGUGAGUAAUGUCUGGGAAACUGCCCGAUGGAGGGGGAUAACUACUGGAAACGGUAGCUAAUACCGCAUACCCUCGGAUGUGCCCAGAUGGGAUUAGCUAGUAGGUGGGGUAACGGCUCACCUAGGCGACGAUCCCUAGCUGGUCUGCGCGGAUGACCGGCCACACUGGAACUGAGACACGGGCCAGACUCCUACGGGGGGAAGCAGGGGGGAAUAUUGCACAAGGGGCGCAAGCCUGAUGCAGCCAUGCCGGGUGUAUGAAGAAGGCCUGCGGGUUGAAAAGUACUUUCAGCGAGGAGGCGUUACUCGCAGAAGAAGCACCGGCUAACUCCGUGCCAGCAGCCGCGGUAUAC